UUUCAGGAAGGAACACAAAAAACACUCCGCGGGCUGCGCUUUUCUCUCCCUUCAGAAAGAUCCUACCAACCUGACACUGCAGGAAUUCCUGAAGCUGGACAAAGAACGAAUGAAAAAUGCAAUUAAAAAAGAAAUUUCUCAGAAGGUGACCGAGGUUGAAGAUGCAGCCAAGAGUGUGCGUCGUGACAUAGAGAAUCUGGUCCCCUAGGCUACUGUAGCUUCUCACUUGCCGGUGACAUCUGUCUUGUAUGUCUGCACUGGCACUGCCAAUUUGACGGAAUGACUGUGUUUCCCGAGACUGCUUUCAGAAUGGCCGUCUCUGUGAGAAGCAGGCUGAAUUCUCCGUCACUCACCUGAGUCUGUCUGGGAAGUACCUGGGGUUUGAUGCCCUGCAUACGUAAUCUUUUUUUGCAGGGAUUCUCCUGUUCUUCCUGUUGGUUCAAUUAAGGAUUACUACUUGUGGUUUUAUUUGUUCUUUUUUUUUUUUAAACCCAGUUGUUUCCAUUUUGGAGAUGCUGGUAGCUCUGGUGCAGAAACUUGUGUUUCUUGCAAGAGCUGGCAGGCACUUCCAUUUUUAUACUGAAUAUACCAAUGCUUUUGGAUACUUUUGGAAAUAAAAAGGGGAAGGAGUUUUAAAACUCCUUCAGGGAUUUAGGAUUCUGGCUAAUAAUAUCUAAUUAUACCAAAUCUUAGUGUGCCUGGUAUCCUUGUAAACUUCUAUUUGUAGUUGGCUGCUGCCUCAUGUUGGUGCAUUUAUAAAUAAAAGUUGAAGGCAAAACUGCAAAG